GGGGAUAUAGCCCAGUGGUAGAGCAUUCGACUGCAGAUCGAGAGGUCC
rnacentral:tRNA from 1 species